rnacentral:rRNA from 1 species
GAUGAACGCUGGCGGCGUGCCUAAUACAUGCAAGUCGAGCGAACGGACGAGAAGCUUGCUUCUCUGAUGUUAGCGGCGGACGGGUGAGUAACACGUGGAUAACCUACCUAUAAGACUGGGAUAACUUCGGGAAACCGGAGCUAAUACCGGAUAAUAUUUUGAACCGCAUGGUUCAAAAGUGAAAGACGGUCUUGCUGUCACUUAUAGAUGGAUCCGCGCUGCAUUAGCUAGUUGGUAAGGUAACGGCUUACCAAGGCAACGAUGCAUAGCCGACCUGAGAGGGUGAUCGGCCACACUGGAACUGAGACACGGUCCAGACUCCUACGGGAGGCAGCAGUAGGGAAUCUUCCGCAAUGGGCGAAAGCCUGACGGAGCAACGCCGCGUGAGUGAUGAAGGUCUUCGGAUCGUAAAACUCUGUUAUUAGGGAAGAACAUAUGUGUAAGUAACUGUGCACAUCUUGACGGUACCUAAUCAGAAAGCCACGGCUAACUACGUGCCAGCAGCCGCGGUAAUACGUAGGUGGCAAGCGUUAUCCGGAAUUAUUGGGCGUAAAGCGCGCGUAGGCGGUUUUUUAAGUCUGAUGUGAAAGCCCACGGCUCAACCGUGGAGGGUCAUUGGAAACUGGAAAACUUGAGUGCAGAAGAGGAAAGUGGAAUUCCAUGUGUAGCGGUGAAAUGCGCAGAGAUAUGGAGGAACACCAGUGGCGAAGGCGACUUUCUGGUCUGUAACUGACGCUGAUGUGCGAAAGCGUGGGGAUCAAACAGGAUUAGAUACCCUGGUAGUCCACGCCGUGAACGAUGAGUGCUAAGUGUUAGGGGGUUUCCGCCCCUUAGUGCUGCAGCUAACGCAUUAAGCACUCCGCCUGGGGAGUACGACCGCAAGGUUGAAACUCAAAGGAAUUGACGGGGACCCGCACAAGCGGUGGAGCAUGUGGUUUAAUUCGAAGCAACGCGAAGAACCUUACCAAAUCUUGACAUCCUUUGACAACUCUAGAGAUAGAGCCUUCCCCUUCGGGGGACAAAGUGACAGGUGGUGCAUGGUUGUCGUCAGCUCGUGUCGUGAGAUGUUGGGUUAGGUCCCGCAACGAGCGCAACCCUUAAGCUUAGUUGCCAUCAUUAAGUUGGGCACUCUAAGUUGACUGCCGGUGACAAACCGGAGGAAGGUGGGGAUGACGUCAAAUCAUCAUGCCCCUUAUGAUUUGGGCUACACACGUGCUACAAUGGACAAUACAAAGGGCAGCGAAACCGCGAGGUCAAGCAAAUCCCAUAAAGUUGUUCUCAGUUCGGAUUGUAGUCUGCAACUCGACUACAUGAAGCUGGAAUCGCUAGUAAUCGUAGAUCAGCAUGCUACGGUGAAUACGUUCCCGGGUCU